rnacentral:rRNA from 1 species
GAUGAACGCUGGCGGCGUGCCUAAUACAUGCAAGUCGAGCGAACGGACGCGAAGCUUGCUUCUCUGAUGUUAGCGGCGGACGGGUGAGUAACACGUGGAUAACCUACCUAUAAGACUGGGAUAACUUCGGGAAACCGGAGCUAAUACCGGAUGAUAUUUUGAACCGCAUGGUUCAAAAGUGAAAGACGGUCUUGCUGUCACUUAUAGAUGGUUCCGCGCUGCAUUAGCUAGUUGGUAAGGUAAUGGCUUACCAAGGCAACGAUGCAUAGCCGACCUGAGAGAGUGAUCGGCCACACUGGAGCUGAGACACGGUCCAGACUCCUACGGGAGGGAGCAGUAGGGAAUCUUCCGCAAUGGGCGAAAGCCUGACGGAGCAGCGCCGCGUGAGUGAUGAAGGUCUUCGGAUCGUAAAACUCUGUUAUUAGGGAAAAACAUAUGUGUAAGUAACUGUGCACAGCUUGACGGUACCUAAUCAGAAAGCCACGGCUAACUACGUG